CUUGAUUCAUUAGGCAGGCAAGAAGUGUGCCUCUGGGAACCUCUUGAGCCCUUCAUGGGCUAGCACACCAACACCAUCCCCCCAGAUGCUUCAGUUGUUGGCUUCGAAUGGCUUACUAUUUCCAUUUCUACGGAGAACUGCCAUCUCAGGAAUCACCUCACCCUGGAGUUUAUUCCCCUCACCCACAGGGUGGCUGGCAGCCAACAGCUGACUCGUACAGAGAGUGGCACAAUGAAGAUUUGAACCCACGUAUGUCUCACUGGACGUAUGCCCAGGAACUGAUUGGGAAAGUGAGGCCCAGGGGUGCAAACCAGUCCAAUAUUAGCGGCAGAGCUCUUCCCUAGACCCGUCUUGAAGCUGCUGCCCCAUCAUUUCCUCCAGGUAGCUGGUGGAUACUGUUUAUCUGGUGCUCACUAUGCCCUAGGUAACACUAGCCCCUACUGUGUGCAAAGAAAUGAACUGAGCUCUCUGGCCUCACACCCUAAGCCCAACCCUGAUCCACUAAGCACUGGCAGCUUCAGGCCCACCACUGCUGGCCUCCCAUCUCUUUCUCCAAGCAACGGUGCCUGUGUGUUGAGCACUUCCAGACAAACACGCCUGCCAUGAUGGACCACAUUUCUGUGCAGAUGCUGAGUACACACCGUCUCCCACUCCCACGGCUGCUUUGCAAGGACAGUGUUAAUGAUCCUCACUUUGUAAACAAGGAAAACUGAAGCUCAGAAAGGAGGGAUGGAGGGCGGUAAGGUUGGGCAUCCUACACAUAUGGUGAUAUCAUUGAACAUUUUGUGUUGAAGAAUGAUGGAGUGUUGAACACAGAAUCAGAGAAUUUUACUUUAUUUUAUUUUUUGAGAAGGAGUCUCAAUCUGUCAACCAGGCUGGAGUGCAGUGGCGCGAUCUCGGCUCAGGGCAACUUCCACCUCCUGGGUUCAAGGGAUCCUCCUGCCUCAGCCUCCCGAGUCGCAGGGAUCACAGAUGUGCUGGAUGCUGGCUCUCUCCCCUGACCCCUGGACCUUUGCACUGGCUGUUCCCGCUACCUGGAACACAGUCUACAACACCACCUCCUUCUCUGGUUGAAGUCCUCUCUCUUCCUGUUUGCUCUGAGGACAGUUUCUGCUCACAUCCCUCCUGAAUAUCUGGGUUGGUGUUCCUUCAUUUACCACAGUCCCCACCCCAGCUGCUGUGCUUACCAUGUGACAGAGAUCACUACAUCAUGUGUGCCCGUGUGUUUGCCUGUGUCCCCAUCCACUCAUGAGCCACAGGAGGGCAGAUAUCGGGAUCAUCUUUUCUCUACUGAAUCCCUAGCACCCAGCACUGUGCCUGGCAGAGAAGAGUUGUUCAGCCAAGAUAUAUGUUGAUAAAUGAAUCAUAAGAUGUUAGAAUCACAAGCUUUUAGAGCCAUGGACUUGGUGAAACAGAAGCCUAAAGUCUCAGAAUUAUAUAAUCCUAGACUUAGCAUUAAUUAUACACAGAAACUGAGAAUCUCCGAAUCUUAGGAUCUCAAGGUUGAAAGAAUUCUUAUAUAGGCAUCUUGUCCAAGGACUAUCAGUGGAUUAGGAAAAUUUUAAUUGUGCCCUUCUAUAUUAUUUAAUGUAUAUUUUUACAUUUAUUUAUAUAAAAACUAUAAUACAUUUGUCUUUCAAACAUUUAUUUUAUUUU
rnacentral:lncRNA from 1 species